rnacentral:rRNA from 1 species
UACGUAGGGUGCGAGCGUUAAUCGGAAUUACUGGGCGUAAUGUGUGCGCAGGUGGCUGAGCAAGUCGAGUGUGAAAGCCCCGGGCUUAACCUGGGAAUUGCGCUCGAAACUACUUGGCUGGAGUGUGGCAGAGGGAGGUGGAAUUCCACGUGUAGCGGUGAAAUGCGUAGAGAUGUGGAGGAACACCAAUGGCGAAGGCAGCCUCCUGGGCCAACACUGACACUCAUGCACGAAAGCGUGGGGAGCAAACAGG